GGCAGCAUGGCCGAGUGGUCUAAGGCGCUGGAAUUAGGUGAACUUCCUCCAUCCAGUCCGAAAGGGCGUGGGUUCGAACCCCACUGCUGUCA